rnacentral:rRNA from 1 species
GACGAACGCUGGCGGCGUGCUUAACACAUGCAAGUCGAACGGAAAGGCCCUGCUUUUGUGGGGUGCUCGAGUGGCGAACGGGUGAGUAACACGUGAGUAACCUGCCCUUGACUUUGGGAUAACUUCAGGAAACUGGGGCUAAUACCGGAUAGGAGCUCCUGCUGCAUGGUGGGGGUUGGAAAGUUUCGGCGGUUGGGGAUGGACUCGCGGCUUAUCAGCUUGUUGGUGGGGUAGUGGCUUACCAAGGCUUUGACGGGUAGCCGGCCUGAGAGGGUGACCGGCCACAUUGGGACUGAGAUGCGGCCCAGACUCCUACGGGAGGCAGCAGUGGAGAAUAUUGCACAAUGGGCGGAAGCCUGAUGCAGCAACGCCGCGUGCGGGAUGACGGCCUUCGGGUUGUAAACCGCUUUCGCCUGUGACGAAGCGUGAGUGACGGUAAUGGGAAAAGAAGCACCGGCUAACUACGUG